GCCCGGGUGGUGGAAUUGGUAGACACAGCAGACUUAAAAUCUGCCGACCUUUAUCGGUCGUGCCGGUUCAAUUCCGGCUCCGGGCACCA
rnacentral:tRNA from 2 species